UUCUCUCAUACAGUAGGUGGGUUUUAAGACAGGUUGCGCUUCAAGGACUAGGUCGAUGGAGAAUUCAAUUUCUCUUUAGGGAGGUAAACCUAGUAAUUCUGCCAAAAAAACAUUUGGGAUGUUACAAAUAAUAGGGAUUGUUUGAACUGACAGCUCAUCAUCCAUUUGCCUAUGUAUCACAUAGAUUAGAGAAAACUAGGUAAAAUUCUGAAUUG
rnacentral:lncRNA from 1 species